rnacentral:rRNA from 1 species
GACGAACGCUGGCGGCGUGCUUAACACAUGCAAGUCGAGCGAGGUCCAACCGGUGGCAACACCGGGGACGGCCUAGCGGCGAACGGGUGAGUAACACGUGAGCAACCUGCCCCGAAGACUGGGAUAACACCGGGAAACCGGUGCUAAUACCGGAUACCCCCAUCUGGCCGCAUGACCGGAUGAGGAAACGAAUUUUGCUUCGGGAGGGGCUCGCGGGCUAUCAGCUUGUUGGUGGGGUAACGGCUCACCAAGGCGA